rnacentral:rRNA from 1 species
CCUACGGGUGGCAGCAGUGAGGAAUAUUGGUCAAUGGCCGCAAGGCUGAACCAGCCAAGUCGCGUGAGGGAUGACGGUCCUAUGGAUUGUAAACCUCUUUUGUCAGGGAGCAAAGGGCGCCACGUGUGGCGUUUUGCGAGUACCUGAAGAAAAAGCAUCGGCUAACUCCGUGCCAGCAGCCGCGGUAAUACGGGGGAUGCGAGCGUUAUCCGGAUUUAUUGGGGUUAAAGGGGGCGAAGGCGGAAUGUCAAGUCAGCGGUAAAAUUUUGGGGCUAAACCCCGUAGUGCGGUUGAAACUGGCGUGCUGGAGUGAGCGAGAAGUAUGCGGAAUGCGUGGUGUAGCGGUGAAAUGCAUAGAUAUCACGCAGAACUCCGAUUGCGAAGGCAGCAUACCGGCGCUCAACUGACGCUGAUGCACGAAAGCGUGGGUAUCGAACAGGAUUAGAUACCCGUGUAGUC